rnacentral:lncRNA from 1 species
CCUACAAGUCUUUCUUCGUACUUAUCCCAUGGAUUCUGGAGGAAAGAAGGUAAACCAAAGAAAAAAAGAAAUGUUCCUAAACUUCUCUGAAGAAAAUCAUGGACAACUUAAUACAAAUAUAAGAUAACAAGUAAUCUUGUCAACAGAAGCAUCUUCAAAUACAUGAAAAGAACCACAUCCAAAGAAGUCAAAAUAAAAGGGCCAAGAACAGGAAGAAAAGAUUCCGACUAUGCAGCAUUUCCUCAUGAUCUAAAAUCCGUG